rnacentral:misc_RNA from 1 species
UUGGCUUGUUACUGGUGGUUGGCUGUGCACAACUUCCACCUGACAUGUCUAUUCGUUCGUCCGUUAAGGCUUUGAUUGCCUGAACAAACUGUGGGUUUCCUGUGUUGCUUGCCUAACAAACGGUAUUGAUUUGGCUUAUCGAAGUUCUGUUCGCCUUUUGUCAUGCGUAUGACAUUAGAUGAACCCUAAACAUGUCUCUUUGAACCACAUCAUUAAUGCUUGUGCAGAUGUAGUGGCGCAUUGAGCCUUGCUCGGUCUCUUUGAUGUAGUGCUUGAUGUGGGCUUGGGUCUGUUGUGAUCCUUGUUAUGUCCCUAUUUAGUGUUUACGCUCCUUAAAAUGACUGCUUGACACGCGUUGUCWCGUAAAAGCGUGUUGGGCUUUGUCKAAAAGGAUUGUUACCUGGU